UUUUUUUUUUUUUUUUUUUUUUUUUUUUUUUUUGUCUUUUUGUCUUUUUGCUAUUUCUUGGGCCGCUCCCGCGGCAUAUGGAGGUUCCCAGGCUAGGGGUCCAUUUGGAGCGCUGCCUGCCUACACCAGAGCCACAGCAAUACGAGAUCCAAGCCACGUCUGCGACCUACACCACAGCUCACGGCAACCCCAGAUCCUUAACCCACUGAGGAGGCCAGGGAUCGAACCUUUGUCCUCAUGGAUGCUAGUCUGUUCAUUAACCACUGAGCCACGAUGGUUGGGACUCCUGGAACAUUUUCAAAAAGUAAUCUAGCAACCUAAUGAAUCAAAUUGUUAAAUGUGCAUACUCUAUGCAAAUUAUCAUACAGAAUUACUAGGAUAAGUACCCCAAAAUAACUACAAAAUACAUAAAAACAUAAUGUGUAAAACACUGCACUGAGGGGAUGACACAUAUAGUACUGUGUAUAUAUUGGUAUUAUAUCCAUACCAAUAUUUAUUCCACAUUUAAUGAAUACUUACUAAGUGUCAGGCAGUUUUAAGAGAAUUACAGCAUCCUAAAAGAACAAAAAGCCUUGGUCUACAAAGACAAAAAAAUCCUUAUAUGUUAUCAGCAAAGAGCUUAUAUUAUCAGCAACAACCAAAUUGCCAUUAGGCUGCCCAUCAAUCAGGGGUUAUAGGAAAAUACACCAAUGAAGAUAGCAGGCCACCUUACAUUAUUCCAAACUAACCUGAUUCCCAUGGGUUAAUUCUUAGCAGACUCCUACAAAUUCUACAAUAUACCUUUGAGCUCCAUGACUCUGUCAGAAAUUCAUUGAUUUUAAAGAGGUUCACACAACCUGUUAAAAGCAGUAUGUCUAUAUCCUACAUUAUAAUUUCAGACCUAGGGUACAAUGCUUGUAUAUGAUAUGCCAAUUGUUCAAUCCCAGGUAUUGAUAGAUAUACCAUAUAAUCUCUUAACUAGAAAAUAAUUGUGCCAAAAGUAUCAAACUACCAAUUAUAGAUGAGUCACUAAAAUUACUAAAAGAUAUACUGACCCCUUGGACUUGGGUUCACUAUAUUUGGUCUAACAUCAGAGGGAACAUUGUGGAUCAAAGGAACCCCCUUGCAAGCAGAACUUAAGUUAGACACUUAACAUUACCUUCAACAUAUUUUUAAGCUUCUACAAAGUGCAAAUAAACUGGAAAUUAUAACAGGCUGCCAAGGUAUCAUGAAUUGCAGAGAAAAGUAAUGGAUGAUGAUCAACAAUUUAACAUGAAAAAAUAAUGGACAAAACUUUAUCUAGAGACAUCAUGAAAAAGACUGCAUUUAUGACUGACAUGAUUUCUGACCCAGAAUUACAAUAAUUUUAGCAAGAACACCUAACAGACAAAAGGAGGUCCCUUAGGACCUUUUAAUAAUUAGAAUUUAAUCCUGUUGGUGGAGAUAUAUAUACGGUGAUAAGUCCAUUGCGACAAUACCAAAAGUCUUUUAGAGAACAAGAUCUACCAAUGUUAGAUCAGUUACUUGGCCUCAAAGAUGGGUUCUGCCUUAGAGCACAACUUUGAUGAUGAAAUUCCCCUGAGGUUCAAUGUUGUAAAGUCCUCCUCUCCCCUCCUAUCUUGGCUUCAUUAUCCCCUAUACUGUUAGGUAAACUUCUUAUGUACCUUGCACUUAACUAUUAUACUUCCCCUAGCUUACUGAUCUCUUGGGGAAAACCUAGAAACUACCGCAUGUGUAACUAAAUGUACAGUAUCCAUGGUACAGGAGGCAUUUAAUAUAUAUUUUUUAACAAGCUGAAUAAAAAGCUAAUCAAAUGGAAUGACUGAAUAUAGCUACAGUUUUUUAAAAAAGAAAACCUGUUAUUACAUAAUUUAAGGAGCAGUGAGUAAAAGAAACCAACAGUUUAGUGAACAUAGUAUACCUAAGAAAUAUACACAAUAUGCAAAACAUUACAUACAGUAAAAGUUAAAAGUGUAUGCUGUCACACGAACUUCCAAACCUACCAAUUCUGCUACCCUCCCCCUCUCUAAAUUAAAAAAAAAUGAUAUAUAGAACAUUCUUGCUCUUAUCCCUGGACACCCAGCAUCUACAGGUAACAACUUUUAUAUAAUCUCAAUGUUAUUUAACAUAAGUGAACAUGUACAUUUCACUUUUUCACUUAAUAUGUCACUGCAGAGACUGCUCCUCAUGUGUUUUUACUGCAACCUAGUAUUCCAUUGUGUGAAUGUACCAGUUUAUCCAGUUUCACACUGACAGCUCCUGGGUUAUUUUCAAAGUUUGACUAUUAUAAAACAGUCUACAAUGUUACAUAUGCCAUUUGUUUCACAUGUGCAGAUAUAUAGGAUCACUAGAUCGAAGAAUAAAGGCAAUUCUAAUUUUGAUAAAUACCUCCAAAGUGCCCUCCAUAAGUAUUAUUUUGUACUGUAACAAAUAUUCUAUAAAUGCCAGUAUGAUCAUAGUCCUUCCAACAAAGUUCUCAAAUAAAACAACUUAUAAAUGAGCUUGAGCAUUCGUUCAUAAGUAUCAUUUGUUUUUCUGUGAGCUCUCUCUGUUCAUGCCCAUUGCUCAUUUUAAAUUGUGUCCUUUUGAUUUUCUUUAUUUAGAAGAUUUUUAUAUAUUAAUGGUGACUAACACUAAGUAAUACAUGUUGCAAAUACUUUCCAAGUCUCUCAUUUUCUUUUGACUUUAUUUACAAUGCUUUUGCCAUGAAGUACUUCACUUAUGUAGCUGCACUUAUAAAUCUUAUUUUAUAGCAUCUAUGUUUCAGGACAAAGAAAGAUAAAGGUAUAUUUACAAAUCAGUGAGCAAAGGAUGGAUUAAUUAACAAAUGGAAUAACCAACAGUUGGGAGAGAGAAAAUAAAUCAUUUUCAUUUAAAAAAAGAUUAAGGAUUGAAAGAUUUUGGCAGAAUAAGAAAAAAUAUAUAAACAAAUAGAUUUAGUUUCGAGAUUUAGAAUUCCUUUCUAAAAGUAAAUCCAAAGUCAACAUUUUUAAUGGUAAACUUGAUUAAAUUUUAUGUAUCUUUUUGUAUUAAGAAUUUUGCCUUUGUACUAGGAAAAGGGAAACAUUUUAAUGUUGUUUUAGACAUGCUUUCCCAUUGUAAUAAACCCGUCUUCCCUUGGCUCCUAAGGGAAACUUCACUGUCUUCUGAGCCUGCUACUCUUGAUUCCCAACCCCAGCUGACUAGCCUAGGAAAGAGCCAGUCAGGAUGACAGGCUGACAAUUCAUAAGCAUCUGAGCUUUAAAUAUUUAUAACCAAGUGGGAACUAGAACUGGAUCUCUUAAGGAUUCAUGAGAAAGCAGAAACUAUGAAUAAACCUAAACUCUAGUGUAAAGUAGGACACAGAAAGUCAAAGGAGAGAGCAAAACAAUCAGAGGUAAGGUAAUGAUAGAGCAGAAAUGAGAAUAAACAUGGCAAAUAAAAUAAAACAGGGUUUCUCCAGAUGCCUCCAUUUCCCAGUGGCCGUCUAGUUACCAGCCCAGAAAGUUACAGCCACUCACCAGCUCCUUUAGUGGGUUUCCAGUAAAAGUCUUAGCUUCCUUACUGCUCACUAUUCCUUGCAGCCUUGCACAUUAUGAUCCUCCCACUGGAUCUAUCAUUUGCGCUCCUCAUAACAAAAACUUUACUAAACUGGAGAUAAAAUAUUAAAAUGUAUAAUAUACUGAAUUUGGUCUUGUUCCCAUUUGUCACACACAUCUCCAAAAAGCCUAAGUGAUGGAGUGUUCUUUUGUUAUUCACAAGAAAUCCCUUUUGAGCACACCUGAGUUUAUGCUAAUGAGGUUACCUAAGAUAGGCUCUUAGUUUUCAGAGUGGAUGGCUGUGCCAUGAGACCAAGCAUAUUAAUAGAAGAUUGGAACUUUCCUUUUUUCUUUUUCCUUUUUUCAAAAAUUUUAAGGCCAUACUCACAGCAUAUGAAGGUUCCCAGGCUAGGGGUCGAAUCAGAGCAGUAGCCGCCAGCAUAGCCACAGCCACAGAAGUGCCAGAUCUGAGCCGCGUCUGCAACCUACACCACAGCUCACAUUAACACCGGAUCCUUAACCCACUGAGCGAGGCCCAGGAGCAAACCUGUGUCCUCAUGCAUGCUAGUCAGAUUUAUUUCUGCUGAGCCACAAAGGGAAUUCCUAGAAGGUUGGAACUUUCAGUCCUACCACUUAGACGUCCAGAGAGGAGGAGGGCUGAAAACAGAACUUAACCAAGUGGAUAAUGAUAAAAUUCCAAUGAAUCUCUAGAAACCCAGAGCCCAAGGAGCUUCCUAGUUGGUGAACACUUUGAUGUGCCAGGAAAGAGAAAUGUCCUAAGUCCAAGGGGAGAGACCAAAGAAGCUCCUUAUCCAGGAUCCUAUAUAUCCUAUAUAUCCUAUAUAUCUUUUUCAUUUGGCUGUUCCUGAGUUUUAUCCUUUAUAAUAAAGCUAACUGUACAUAUAUCACUUUCAGGGAGUUCUGGAAGUUAUUCUCGCAAAUUAACAAACCUGAGAUGGUCAUAAGAACCCUUGAACUUAGCUGAGGAAUGAGCUGUCCUAAGACUUACUAAAGGGAAGGCAGUCUUCAGGAAAACACUGCCCUCAACUUGUGGGGUCUGGCAUUAACUUAGGGUCGUUAGCAUCAGAAUUGAAUUGAAUUGCAUGAUGGCCAGGUGGUGUCAGAGAGUUGCUAUAUCAAUUGAACAGUAACAAUCUCUCAUUGUUAACCUAUCAACUAAAUUAACUUUUUUCCAACAUGGUAUAUUUUCAUUAAGAAAAAAAAAAUCAGGAGUUCCUGUUGAGGCUCAGUGGUUAAUGAAUCAGAUUAAGAACCAUGAGGUUGUGGGUUCGAUCCCUGGCCUUGCUCAGUGGGUUAAGGAUCUGGUGUGGCUGUGGCUGUGGUGUAGGCCAGCAGCUACAGCUCUGAUUAGACCCCUAGCCUGGGAACCUCCAUAUGCUGCAGGUGUGGCCCUGAAAAGACAGAUAAAUAAAUAAAUAAAUGUAUGUAUGUAUGUUAAAAAAAAGAUAAAAAAAAAA
rnacentral:lncRNA from 1 species